GUUAAAUUAAAAUAAUAAAUAGAAGAGAUUAAAUGUUAUAUCAUUAAAUUUAAAAGAUUUGGCGGUACUUAUUAUUUAGAGGAACCUGUAUAGUAAUUGAUAGUCCACGAUAGGAAAUACUUAGAAUAAAGCUUAUGUAUUGCUGUUUGUAGUAUUUAAUUAAUUUAGAUUUAUCUAAUUUAUUAAAGUUAAAUAAUUCAAGUCAAAAUAUAGUUUUUUUAAGAUUAAUAUGGGUUACAUUAAAAUAGAUUAAAAAUUAGUUGAAUUAAAAAAUUUAAUUUUUUUAUGAAAAUGGAUUUAAAAGUAAAAUUAAUAAAUAAAUUAAUUUGAAUUAAAGAUUAAGUAUGU
rnacentral:rRNA from 1 species